CGACGGGGUUUGCUUCACCAAUAAUUUUGACCACCAGCCGCCACUGGUUUGGAGAGACGUUGUCAGUGUCUGUAUGUUGCUUAAAUUCUCCAAAACAGUGGGCGCUAAAGAUCAGGGCAUGGCAGGCCAUAGAGUUCCUGACCCCACGUGACCACCGGUGUUCGGAACGCCAUUUUGGCAGUAAAAUCAAGCUCCGCCCUUAAAGUUUUUCGUUAAAAUGACCCAGCACCAGCGCCGAAGCUUUCAAGCCAUCGGAGUACUCAUCUCACUUUAAUUCGCAUGACAUUGAGCUUUAUAUGCAACAAUUAAAUAGGUUAAAUAUUACCGACCCAUACAAUGCCCCCGGGGUGCUUUUCAAAAGCAUCUCUGCUGAAGAAGACGUCCCAGAUCUGCAGUAUCCGGAUAUAUAUAACUACCUUCAGAGCAGCCACAAAGACAGACGUCAGAAAGCCUGCAGUGUCUCUAAUAAGACAAAUAUGCUACCCAAAGUCCCAUAGCUUCACCAGUGAGGCUACCAGUUGGGGAUGUCAACACGAGGACUUGGCAAGAAAAUACUAUGAAAUGCGGCAUCGCCUCUCACACACACGGAUGUCAUGGUAGGAACGGCUGGAUUCAGGAUUUCACCCCUGCACCCACUUAUUGGGGCCUCACCUGAUGGAUACGUUUCCUGUAGCUGCUGUGGGUCAGGUGACACAGAAAUUAAGUGCCCAUUUUCUGCAAAGGACCUUUCUGUUAAUUAGGCAGUAAAGUGUUUUUCUGCACAGAAACCAGCACCAGCAGCAGCAGCAGCAUUUGCUGAUCAUAGUCAACAACAGUGGUGCUACUGCCCUGAGCCAGAAGCAGGGAACAUGUUGGUCUGUGCGGCAGGUUUUUGUUCAGUUAAAAAGUUUCACCAGACCUGCCUUCGCAUGAAAAGGGUCCCAAAACAGUGGGUAUGUCCCAUCUGCCGAAAAGUGAUCAAUGCCCAAAGAAGAAAACCUUAGUGAGGAGACUGUGAAAUGAGUUGUUUGUAGUAGCUGAUACUGUACUGUUAUUUAUGAAUAAACAGUUGUUCAACCAAUAUUGUUCUCUUCCCCAUCAUUUGUAUUAAAUAUCUGUAGCAAUCAGGGAUAUGAAACAUGGGUAGGUCAUUCAUAUAAGACACACCAGAACAAAUAUCUGGUUGGGUGGAACUCAGUUAGAAUGGGUGGAUGUGCAGCUUGAUCUGUAAAGAGAAACAAUGCGAUCGCAUCAGAAUAGCGAGUGAUUAAAAAUAAUGUCACGACAAGCAAGCAAGAAGUGUGAGUCACAAAGGUUUAUUUGCUGGUUGAGCACAUCUGUAGCCAGUCACAUCAGUUCAAUUUACUGUACAUCCCCAUCACUGGAAGGACACCACAGAUUCAGACACAUUUGUAAGUGCACAACACACGCUCACCAUCUUGUCAAGGUAGGUCACAUCAUUUUCUCCGUCUAUGUCCGUGAAACAUAUGGGGACAGUGCUUUGCAAGACUGUGUACUUUUGACGGAGAACUCCUAUCACUCUUUCAAUAUGUAUCCUAAGGGAGGCUAGACGUCUGGUGUUCUCCAAGUCAGCAGGAUCUUCUUUCCACGAGUAAAUGCUGGAAUUUUUAAUUCAGCUUGGCAUCUCUCAAUGGACUCUUUAACCAGACAACCUCUGUCCGCUAAAACUACGUCCCCUGGGGGGCAAAUGAGAUAAAAAGUUACUUUGUUCUGUGAUAAACUUAUCACUUGUGCGACCUCCCCAUCCAGUGGAAAUUAAACAAAUGGAACCUCGAGGGCAAAUUGCAAUUAAAUAAUUCAUAUUGUGGUGUGAUUUGUAUGAGGAGUAACACUGAGCACUGGCUAGCAAUCUACUGGGUUUCUCUAGAAAUAUUUCAAAACAAUCUAUGAUGCAAACUGUCUUUUCAAAGCUACUGUUUGGAAAUGCAUAUGGAAGAGAUUUUCUUAAGUAUUCUCUGUCAGGCCACAACACCAGACUUGGCACCAGUCUACAAUGCCUCACACUAAUGCAGUGUUUGAAGAGCUUUGAAACAGUGGUUGAGUCAAUGUCAAAAUAAAAAGCCCAAAAUUCAAAGGACAAGUUCAUUCUAAGCUUAAUUAAAGUUAACAUGUACUGCUGAAAACAUGUUAUACUAGAUUUAAGUUGGAGAAAAGGAGCCACAAUAUGAAAAAUUGUCAUGAGAGUGGAAAAUGCUGAUAAACCAGUGAGAGUAUUAACCCUUUUAUCAUCGUUAUGCAAGCUCAUCUCAUUCAGUGUAGUCCUAUUCAUUUUUUCCUUCAACAACAUAUUUCCAUUCCUCAGAGCUUGGCAUUCUU